UUGAAGAGAGAGUUCAAGAGUACGUGAAACUGCUCAGGGGCAAACGGGUGGGCCCUCGAAGUCCGCGUGGAGAGGGAUUCAGUUCCCAGCGUCGCGGGAGGCGGAUGCCGGGGAUCUCCGAGCGAGAACCCUGCGCUGUCUCCCUUGCGCAGCAGGGGACGCACUUCUCUCUCCCAAUGGACGCCGCAGCCUCUCGGGGGUCGGCAGUGAGGACAAUGUAGGUAGGUGGCGUGGGUGCCGGUCUAGCACCGGUGCCCCGUGUCUGGCCGACAAGCGUUCCGGGCGCGACUUCCGAGAGAGGGAGUAUCGGUUCCGUUCGCGGGACCGGCCGUUGCCUCGCCAAGCGAGCGGCGUGCGGGUGCCAGAGAAGCAUCGGGCCGUCUGAUCGUGCACCGAGCGGUGGCGACGGACACGGUGUGCUCGGUGGGCCCCGCAUCCGCGGCGUAGUGCAGACGGCUUGCGGCGAGUAGGUCGGUAACCCACCCGACCCGUCUUGAAACACGGACCAAGGAGUCCAACAUGUGCGCGAGUCAGUGGGACUCGAAUAAGCCCACGGGCAGAACGAAAGUGAGAACGCCGCGAUCCUUCGCUGAUUGCGGGGCGCAGCGGCGGCCUGGGUAACCCAUACAUAUGGACCCCGGUGCCGGAGCGUACACGUUGGGACCCGAAAGAUGGUGAACUAUGCCCGGGCAGGUCGAAGCUAGAGGAAACUCUGGUGGAGGACCGCAGCGGUUCUGACGUGCAAAUCGAUCGUCGAACCUAGG
rnacentral:rRNA from 1 species